GGUGAACGCUGGCGGCGUGCCUAAUACAUGCAAGUCGAGCGAACGGACGAGAAGCUUGCUUCUCUGAUGUUAGCGGCGGACGGGUGAGUAACACGUGGAUAACCUACCUAUAAGACUGGGAUAACUUCGGGAAACCGGAGCUAAUACCGGAUAAUAUUUUGAACCGCAUGGUUCAAAAGUGAAAGACGGUCUUGCUGUCACUUAUAGAUGGAUCCGCGCUGCAUUAGCUAGUUGGUAAGGUAACGGCUUACCAAGGCAACGAUGCAUAGCCGACCUGAGAGGGUGAUCGGCCACACUGGAACUGAGACACGGUCCAGACUCCUACGGGAGGCAGCAGUAGGGAAUCUUCCGCAAUGGGCGAAAGCCUGACGGAGCAACGCCGCGUGAGUGAUGAAGGUCUUCGGAUCGUAAAACUCUGUUAUUAGGGAAGAACAUAUGUGUAAGUAACUGUGCACAUCUUGACGGUACCUAAUCAGAAAGCCACGGCUAACUACGUGCCAGCAGCCGCGGUAAUACGUAGGUGGCAAGCGUUAUCCGGAAUUAUUGGGCGUAAAGCGCGCGUAGGCGGUUUUUUAAGUCUGAUGUGAAAGCCCACGGCUCAACCGUGGAGGGUCAUUGGAAACUGGAAAACUUGAGUGCAGAAGAGGAAAGUGGAAUUCCAUGUGUAGCGGUGAAAUGCGCAGAGAUAUGGAGGAACACCAGUGGCGAAGGCGACUUUCUGGUCUGUAACUGACGCUGAUGUGCGAAAGCGUGGGGAUCAAACAGGAUUAGAUACCCUGGUAGUCCACGCCGUAAACGAUGAGUGCUAAGUGUUAGGGGGUUUCCGCCCCUUAGUGCUGCAGCUAACGCAUUAAGCACUCCGCCUGGGGAGUACGACCGCAAGGUUGAAACUCAAAGGAAUUGACGGGGACCCGCACAAGCGGUGGAGCAUGUGGUUUAAUUCGAAGCAACGCGAAGAACCUUACCAAAUCUUGACAUCCUUUGACAACUCUAGAGAUGGAGCCUUCCCCUUCGGGGGACAAAGUGACAGGUGGUGCAUGGUUGUCGUCAGCUCGUGUCGUGAGAUGUUGGGUUAAGUCCCGCAACGAGCGCAACCCUUAAGCUUAGUUGCCAUCAUUAAGUUGGGCACUCUAAGUUGACUGCCGGUGACAAACCGGAGGAAGGUGGGGAUGACGUCAAAUCAUCAUGCCCCUUAUGAUUUGGGCUACACACCUGCUACAAUGGACAAUACAAAGGGCAGCGAAACCGCGAGGUCAAGCAAAUCCCAUAAAGUUGUUCUCAGUUCGGAUUGUAGUCUGCAACUCGACUACAUGAAGCUGGAAUCGCUAGUAAUCGUAGAUCAGCAUGCUACGGUGAAUACGUUCCCGGGUCU
rnacentral:rRNA from 1 species